GCGGAGGAUCACAUCUGUAGCACUGGUUAACGGUUACGGCUCAGGGCGCGGCCAAGUCUGUCUCAAGUCUGCCUGCCACGGAGCUGUGUGCACAUGAGCGCAGGAUCACAUCUGUAGCACUGGUAAGCUAACCGUUUAUUUUCUUCAAACUUCAAUUAUAACACGGUGUGUUGUCAGGACAAUACUAACUUCUGUUUGUGAUUGAGUGCAUUUUGCAGCAAAACGUUUAUGUUCUGCAUUGCAUAAGUGUUUUUUCAAAUGUGUUGGCGCGAACUGCAAGCAAACAACGGUGUGUUGUCAGGACAAUACUAGCUUCUGUUUGUGAUUGAGUGCAUUUUGCAGUCAUAGUUAUAACUUCUACUGACCGGGAGUUAAUUUAAAUAGUCUGGUAACGUUAUUGAAGUAUCAUGCUAAAAGCUGAACUCUUUAUUUUCGUUUAAUUCAUGCUGUUGUGAAGUGGGGGGUUUGAAGCUACAUCUGAGGGGGUUCAAAGUUAACUGGCAGUCUACUUUUUUUCUGUUCUUUCUGCCACUUCUUUCUCUCUUUUCUGUCUAAUUUGAGACGUUUAUGUUGCACAAUGUUUUUUGUUACUGUAAGCUCGUAAAGGGCUAGUUUGGAUGCUUAUGGAUACUUAUCCAUAGUCAGUGUAUUACUUGCAUGUCUUUGGAGGAACAGGCAGGAGUACGGGUACGUAUGUAAAGCUGUGGAUGGGUGCAGCAGCGAAACGUAUUUUAGCCACCUAAAAAUUCAGUUUACGUGUACGCUAUAUUUAUAAUAUUGUCACAAAUGUACCCUGCUGCUUCAGUCCCUAUCAGAAACAGACUGUAUAGCUGUCUGACAGCAAGGUAGAGCUUUGAAAAUAUUCUUUAAUAUAGCAUACACUAAGAGUAAUAUUGUUUUAGUUUUUUUGGUGGCUUAACUAUGUCCACAGCAGUGCAUUGCUUAGCUGUCUGCUGGUUCUCCUCUCUGUUUCUCCAAACUGUAGCUCCUACAACCCCCCUUCAAACAAUAUGAACUAUCCCCUAAAAGCAAGUCAAAUUGACAUUACAUUUAUCUCCCCUUAACCUGCAAAUACACAUACAUACAUUUUUGUAUUGAUGGUGAGCAAUUUAACAGACCUUAAAAUGUGUGCUAAAAUUGUUUUGUGAAAUAUUUCAGGAAGACAAGUCUUGUUUUAAUUUAGUUUGAAUUGUGUUUUUCUUCUUUUUUAGGACGAUCAUGCUAUUCUUCAAGGCGAUUCAUGCUGAGUGUGGAUCGAAACAUAGUACAGGACAACAUCCCCUCCUUGGUUUCUGCCCUGUCCAUGAUGUUUGGGAGCUAUUAUUGCUUCAACAUCGCCUACCCGUCAGAGCUGGCAUCCACCCUGGAGUUUGUCCAGAGGUGUUUUUUCUCCAUCAACCCAGAGAAGGGCACCAAAGUGGAGAAGACACGUGCAUCCCGUCUUCAGGUGAACCCGAGAGUCCUCACCUUGAUACAGGAACUUUCGGACCAUGAGUGGCGUGAUGUCUGAAUAUGGACAGUAAGAUCAAUGGCAUGUAGCGAUGUGCCCAAGUUAC